rnacentral:snRNA from 1 species
AGCUUUGCGCAGUGGCAGUACCGUAGCCAAUGACGUUUAUCUGAGGCGCGAUUAUUGCUAAUUGAAAACAACGAAGUCCCGAGCGACC